UGUUAUUGGUUUCUCCUUUCUGAGGAGCCAUGAUGUCAUUAAUUUGGUGUCGUGGGGAAUCAGGACUGUUACUUUGAAAAAAUUAGAGUGUUUAAAGCAGGCACGCGCUUGAAUACAUUAGCAUGGAAUAAUGAAAUAGGACGUUCGAUUCUAUUUUGUUGGUUUCUAGGAUCAGCGUAAUGAUUAAUAGGGAUAGUUGGGGGCAUUAGUAUUCAAUUGUCAGAGGUGAAAUUCUUGGAUUUAUUGAAGACUAACUACUGCGAAAGCAUUUGCCAAGGAUGUUUUCAUUAAUCAAGAACGAAAGUUAGGGGAUCGAAGACGAUCAGAUACCGUCGUAGUCUUAACCAUAAACUAUGCCGACUAGGGAUCGGAUGAUGUUAAUUUUUUAAUGACUCAUUCGGGC
rnacentral:rRNA from 1 species